AUGACAUCUAUACUAUUGUUCUCCUCAGUGCUUUAGUUGAACACAUUUGAGAGCCUAUUAAACAGUUUUAACAUUAUCAUUUGUGGCCUUGAAUUAGCUAAAUUACAAAAUACCUGGUAAGGGACCGCUGGAUGCCCAGCGGAGCAGCAACAUCUGCAGUCGACCUGACGAUUGUGUAAGGGAAGGAGGGGAAAUGAGAAUGGGAAUGAGAAUGAGAAUGGUCGCUGUUGAAGUGCCCAACUGCUAACUAAGCCAAAUUGUACGCUCAAGUGCCAUAAAGCCAUAAAGACAGAUUUCAAAUGGGGCUGUCCUCGUUCAUUUUGAAAGAAUUAAGCACUUUUGUGGGGCGCAGCUGCUAAGAAAAUACCGCAGCUCCAAAAACCAGUUUCAGCUGCAGCUCCUGGUCUGCAGGUCGCCCUUAGCACAACUUUCAACAACUUCCUAUGCUCAAAGUUUCCACAAAUUAGUUAUGCAAAUUAUGUGAGUCGCCUCUACCUCAGCGGCAGCAGUCAACCGCCAGUUACAACAACAACAAUGGCGGCAACAACAACAACAA